rnacentral:rRNA from 1 species
GACGAACGCUGGCGGCGUGCUUAACACAUGCAAGUCUAACGGAAAGGCCCCUUUGGGGGUACUCGAGUGGCGAACGGGUGAGUAACACGUGAGUAACCUGCCCUUGACUUCGGGAUAACUUCAGGAAACUGGGGCUAAUACCGGAUAGGAAUCCUUGCUGCAUGGUGGGGGUUGGAAAGCUUCGGCGGUUUUGGAUGGACUCGCGGCUUAUCAGCUUGUUGGUGGGGUAGUGGCUUACCAAGGCUUUGACGGGUAGCCGGCCUGAGAGGGCGACCGGCCACAUUGGGACUGAGAUACGGCCCAGACUCCUACGGGAGGCAGCAGUGGGGAAUAUUGCACAAUGGGCGGAAGCCUGAUGCAGCAACGCCGCGUGCGGGAUGACGGCCUUCGGGUUGUAAACCGCUUUCAGCAGGGGCGAAGCUUGUGGUGACGGUACCUGCAGAAGAAGCACCGGCUAACUACGUG